rnacentral:rRNA from 1 species
GUAGUCCAUGCCGUAAACGUUGGGCACUAGGUGUGGGGGACAUUCCACGUUUUCCGCGCCGUAGCUAACGCAUUAAGUGCCCCGCCUGGGGAGUACGGCCGCAAGGCUAAAACUCAAAGGAAUUGACGGGGGCCCGCACAAGCGGCGGAGCAUGCGGAUUAAUUCGAUGCAACGCGAAGAACCUUACCAAGGCUUGACAUGAACCGGAACGGCGCAGAGAUGUGUCGGCCACUUGUGGCCGGUUUACAGGUGGUGCAUGGUUGUCGUCAGCUCGUGUCGUGAGAUGUUGGGUUAAGUCCCGCAACGAGCGCAACCCUCGUUCCAUGUUGCCAGCGGGUUAUGCCGGGGACUCAUGGGAGACUGCCGGGGUCAACUCGGA